rnacentral:SRP_RNA from 1 species
GCUGGGCGCGGUGGCACGUGCCUAUAGUCCCAGCUACUCGGGAGGCUGAGGCUGGCGGAUCUCUUGAGUCCAAGAGAUCUGGGCUGUAAGCUAUGCCAAUCGGGUGUCCGCACUAAGUUCGGCAUCAAUAUGGUGACCUCCUGGGAGCAGGGGACCACCAGGUUGCCUAAGGAAGGGUGAACCAGCCCAGGUCGGAAACGGAGCAGGUCAAAACUCCCGUGCUGAGUAGUGGGAUUGCACCUGUGAAUAACCACUGCUCUCCAGCCUGGGCAACAUAGCAAGACCCCGUCUCU